rnacentral:rRNA from 1 species
AUUGAACGCUGGCGGCAGGCCUAACACAUGCAAGUCGAGCGGAUGAAGGGAGCUUGCUUCUGGAUUCAGCGGCGGACGGGUGAGUAAUGCCUAGGAAUCUGCCUGGUAGUGGGGGAUAACGUCCGGUAACGGGCGCUAAUACCGCAUACGUCCUGAGGGAGAAAGUGGGGGAUCUUCGGACCUCACGCUAUCAGAUGAGCCUAGGUCGGAUUAGCUAGUUGGUGGGGUAAAGGCCUACCAAGGCGACGCUCCGUAACUGGUCUGAGAGGAUGAUCAGUCACACUGGAACUGAGACACGGGCCAGACUCCGACGGGAGGCAGCAGUGGGGAAUAUUGGACAAUUGGCGAAAGCCUGAUCCAGCCAUGCCGCGUGUGUGAAGAAGGGCUUCUGAUUGUAAAGCACUUUAAGUUGGGAGGAAGGGCAGUAAGUUAAAACCUUGCUGUUUUGACGUUACCAACAGAAUAAGCACCGGCUAACUUCGUG